rnacentral:rRNA from 1 species
AACGAACGCUGGCGGCAGGCCUAACACAUGCCAGUCGAGCGCGCCCUUCGGGGUGAGCGGCGGACGGGUGAGUAACGCGUGGGAACGUGCCCUUUUCUACGGAAUAGCCUCGGGAAACUGAGAGUAAUACCGUAUACGCCCUUUGGGGGAAAGAUUUAUCGGAAAAGGAUCGGCCCGCGUUGGAUUAGGUAGUUGGUGGGGUAAUGGCCUACCAAGCCGACGAUCCAUAGCUGGUUUGAGAGGAUGAUCAGCCACACUGGGACUGAGACACGGCCCAGACUCCUACGGGAGGCAGCAGUGGGGAAUCUUAGACAAUGGGGGCAACCCAGAUCUAGCCAUGCCGCGUGAGUGAUGAAGGCCUUAGGGUUGUAAAGCUCUUUCAGCUGGGAAGAUAAUGACGGUACCAGCAGAAGAAGCCCCGGCUAACUCCGUG